UACGAGUACCCCGAGCGUUAUCCGGAAUUAUUGGGCGUAAAGGGUGCGUAGGCGGUCGUGUUAGUCUUCCGUUAAAACCACGGGCUUAACCUGUGACAGGCGGGAGAUACGGCAUGACUCGAGCAGGCGAGAGGUAUGUGGAACUCUAGGUGUAGGGGUGAAAUCCGUUGAUAUCUAGGGGAACACCGAAUGCGAAGGCAGCAUACUGGCGCCUUGCUGACGCUCAAGCACGAAAGCGUGGGUAGCGAAUGGG
rnacentral:rRNA from 1 species